CAGCAGCCGCGGGAAUACGUAGGUGGCAAGCGUUGUCCGGAAUUAUUGGGCGUAAAGGGCUCGCAGGCGGUUUCUUAAGUCUGAUGUGAAAGCCCCCGGCUCAACCGGGGAUGGUCAUUGGAAACUGGGAAACUUGAGUGCAGAAGAGGAGAGUGGAAUUCCACGUGUAGCGGUGAAAUGCGUAGAGAUGUGGAGGAACACCAGUGGCGAAGGCGACUCUCUGGUCUGUAACUGACGCUGAGGAGCGAAAGCGUGGGGAGCGAACAGGAUUAGAUACCCCAGUAGUCCCUGUCUCUUAUAC
rnacentral:rRNA from 1 species